rnacentral:rRNA from 1 species
UACAGAGGGUGCAAGCGUUAAUCGGAAUUACUGGGCGUAAAGCGUGCGUAGUCGGUUAUCUAAGUCAGGUGUGAAAUCCCCGGGCUCAACCUGGGAAUUGCAUUUGAUACUGGAUAGCUAGAGUUCGGCAGAGGGAAGUGGAAUUUCUGGUGUAGCGGUGAAAUGCGUAGAUAUCAGGAGGAACACCGGUGGCGAAGGCGGCUCUCUGGACGGUGACUGACGCUAAGACGCGAAGGCGUGGGGAGCAAACAGG